UUAGUGGCGAACGGGUGAGUAAUACGUGAGUGACCUACCUUUGACUCUGGGAUAAGCCUGGGAAACUGGGUCUAAUACCGGAUACGACCAAUCUCCGCAUGGGGUGUUGGUGGAAAGCGUUAUGGAGUGGUUUUAGAUGGGCUCACGGCCUAUCAGCUUGUUGGUGAGGUAAUGGCUUACCAAGGCGACGACGGGUAGCCGGCCUGAGAGGGUGACCGGCCACACUGGGACUGAGACACGGCCCAGACUCCUACGGGAGGCAGCAGUGGGGAAUAUUGCACAAUGGGCGCAAGCCUGAUGCAGCGACGCCGCGUGAGGGAUGACGGCCUUCGGGUUGUAAACCUCUGUUAGCAUCGAAGAAGCGAAAGUGACGGUAGGUGCAGAGAAAGCGCCGGCUAACUACGUGCCAGCAGCCGCGGUAAUACGUAGGGCGCGAGCGUUGUCCGGAAUUAUUGGGCGUAAAGAGCUUGUAGGCGGUUGGUCGCGUCUGCUGUGAAAGGCUGGGGCUUAACCCUGGUUUUGCAGUGGGUACGGGCUAACUAGAGUGCAGUAGGGGAGACUGGAAUUCCUGGUGUAGCGGUGGAAUGCGCAGAUAUCAGGAGGAACACCGAUGGCGAAGGCAGGUCUCUGGGCU
rnacentral:rRNA from 1 species